rnacentral:tRNA from 1 species
UUCCUUCAUGGAUGAAGGUAAGGUAAUCGGCGAUCUUAUCGAGAUCGCUUGUUAUGUGCGAAGAAAGAAGGAUCGAAUGUUCCUCGUCUUGGAUGAAG